rnacentral:rRNA from 1 species
UACCAGCUCUCCGAGUUGUAGGGAUGAUUAUUGGGCUUAAAGCGUCCGUAGCUGGCUUAGCAAGUCUCCUGUUAAAUUCAGCGACCUAAUCGUUGAGCCGCGGGAGAUACUAUUAGGCUAGGAGGCGGGAGAGGUCGACGGUACUUUCGGGGUAGGGGUGAAAUCCUAUAAUCCCGGGAGGACCACCAGUGGCGAAGGCUGUCGACUAGAACGCGCUCGACGGUGAGGGACGAAAGCUGGGGGAGCGAACCGGAUUAGAUACCCGGGUAGUCCCAGCUGUAAACUAUGCGGGCUAGGUGUUGGGGUGGCUACGGGCCACUUCAGUGCCGCAGGAAAGCCAUUAAGCCCGCCGCCUGGGGAGUACGGCCGCAAGGCUAGAAACUUAAAGGAAUUGGCGGGGGAGCACCACGAGGCGUGAAGCUUGCGGUUC